UGGGGAAUAUUGCACAAUGGGCGAAAGCCUGAUGCAGCAACGCCGCGUGAGUGAUGAAGGCCUUCGGGUUGUAAAGCUCUGUCUUCUGGGACGAUAAUGACGGUACCAGAGGAGGAAGCCACGGCUAACUUCGUGCCAGCAGCCGCGGUAAGACGAAGGGGGCAAGCGUUGUUCGGAAUUGCUGGGCGUAAAGGGCGCGUAGGCGGUUUGCUUAGUCAGGCGUGAAAGCCCUGGGCUUAACCUGGGAUGUGCGCUUGAUACUGGCAGGCUUGAGUGUGGUAGAGGUUGGUGGAAUUCCCAGUGUAGAGGUGAAAUUCGUGGAUAUUGGGAAGAACACCGGUGGCGAAGGCGGCCAACUGGACCACAACUGACGCUGAGGAGCGAAAGCGUGGGGAGCAAAC
rnacentral:rRNA from 1 species